UGAUAUUCAGUCCGCGGUCCCUGAUUCAUCUUAUCCAAAACUCCUCCCUUUCCAGCGACGGCAGCGAUGGCGGAGCACGAGCAGGUGAGGGCGGCGCCUUCGUCGGACGGCUAGCCGCGGCGGAGGAGAAGGCGGACGCCAUGGGUGCGGCUACAGACGAGGCGGAGGAGAAGGCGGACGCCGUGGGCUUGCUGCACGGCUACAGCCGAGGCGGAGGAGAAGGCGGACGCCGUGGGCGUUCAUGGAGGAUGGUACGCCGGCCGCGUCAAGUCCCCUGCCCCCGGCCGCCGGCGCCUGUUCUCGGCCUCCAUCGCCCGGAGGCGUGCCCCUACUGUCGACCUUUGCGUCUGCUUCGUCUGCAUCACGCCAACGCCGCCCUCGUCGUCGCGGCGUUCUUCUGCUUCCGGCGUCGCCCCGUCGCCCAUGCGCCGAGUUCUGCUGCGGCCUCUGUUCUUCCGCAACGAGUAGCAGCAGGUCGUCUGCGGUUGCGGCAGCGGUGUAGGCGAGCGAGGCAGAGGAGCGGUCAACACCGGCGUCGAGGGCAAGGUAGGGCGGGCGCAGUGUCCUCCGGCGUGUGGUGGCGCAUUUGUACGGCGCAGGAGGCUGGGCGCGUCGAUUCGGGUGAGGGGAGUGGGGUCCAGAUCUGGUCGAGGACGGGGCAACCGGCGGCGGCGGCGUGGCUGACGCUAGACGGAGAGAGAGGCAGAGCAAGGCACACCGAAUCGCUGGAUGGCGCACCUCCCCUAGCCUCCUUCCUCUCCCGGUCGUUGGGGAAGCAGGACGGCCACCUCUGCUGGACGCCCUUCCCUGGUCGACGACGAGCGAUGCGAGCUGACACGGUGGCGCCCUUCCGUUGUGGAGUACCGUACUAGGACGACGGCGGUUAAGGUCAACGCCCUGCUCGACGCCCCCAUCUGCUGCUCGAUGCGCCCAUCCCCUCGCUGGUUGAGCUCAACGCCACCUUGCUCUGCCUCCGGCAGUCAUUUCAUCCAAUCUGGCUGGUCCGCUCCCCACCUCGGCGGCUCCUUCAGUCCGGCAGCACACCACGCUCAAGCCUCCACCACCCCAACUCCUCAAGUUACAGUAGACAAGGAGCUCCGCUCUACCUCUCAUCUCUCUCCCUGUCCUGGUGGUCACGGGCUGAUGUUGCUGCUCCUCUCCUUCAGGAUCUAUCUCUUUCUCUUUGUCUCUCACCCUCUCAUGGAUUGACAACUGCAUUCUUCCCAAAUUAAUGUGUGCCUCUGUUCUUGAUAUUACGCCCACACCAUGUUUGAUGUUAUGCUUAUGAGGAGUUGAACUUCAUUUUUUUUCAGGCUUUUCUUUGGUGUAUCAGGCAUUCAGGCUGGUGUAAUUUGUUUUCAGAAGUGAACAUGUUGUACAGUCUAAUGUAUCUACAAAAAUUAAGUUAUGCAGAACUACAGAACUAUUAGCAGCUUUUAAUUAUGUGUACUUAAAAUGGAUUUGGUGUCCAGGACAUGUGGAGUUGAGAUCAGGUUGAAUUAUGUGCUGAUGUUCUUCGAUAGUAUAAUUGUUCUUCUCCUUUAACAUGAUGCACCAUUGACUUAUUUUUUUAGAUGCUCAAAUACGCAGAGUAAUGACAUCCUGUAUGCGCUUGGACACCCAGCAGAUUGAAAAUAUAGAAGCAAAGAUAUCCAAUACGAGGCCACGAUGCCCGACAGAGAUGCAGCCAAUACGCGCCCAAUCUUUAUUUCUUGAUAUUCCUGAAACACUGUCCAGAAUUCCACUGCUACAGAAUUGAAAUUCGAUAGCACAUGGUAAACCAGCUUUGAUUCAGCAGGGUUAUCAGCUUAGAUUCGACUAUUUUUAGUUCCUACAAGAGCAAAUGAUACGCUUAUGUCAGUAGUUUUUAGAUAUAUUCACUGGCUUCAGAUUCUGCUGAUGGAUUUUUAUGCUCUGUUCUGCUUCUAGAGCUUGUGAAUGAUGUUCAUUGUUGUUUGAAAGAUGCACUUUUUUUAUGCCUAUAUGUAAACGAUGCAAUUACUGGCUGAGAGAUACACUUAUUGGUGCUGUUCUGAAAUGAUGUUCAUUACUGUUCUACAGAUGCAGUAGACUGAUGUUUAUUGUUGUUUUGUUAUUGUACAGAACGAGGACGGAUCCAAGGUUGAGUACUGGGUGUGGAACCCCUUCAGAUCCAAGUUGGCUGCUGUUGUACUCUGUGGUGUGGACAACAUCUGGAUUGUCCGAGGAAUUACAGCUUGGGGACUUGGGAGACGAUCGUAAAAGCGGUGUGCUACAGUGUAAUGCACUAGCAAUAUGUGAAGAUUAUUUUAAGGAGGGGGUUAAUAAACAAUCAGAAAAUUCUUUUGCCCCCUCAGAAAACUAUGUUCCGUGUUUGGCCCCUCUGGGCAUUGAUGUGAAGCUAUACAGUCGUGUAAUAUGACCAAACUCAUCACCUCGGGGUUGAUCACAUUCGUCGUGAAUAGGUGGAUAACAUGACCAUCAUCGACAAUGGUGGCAAGCAAGAGAAGUGGAAUCAUAGACUAGGACGAGCGAGGAUUUGUUUAACCCGUUGCAACGCACGGGCCCUUUUGCUAGUAAUAAUAAAGAAAAUUGGGUUUCCGUCGUCCGUCGUCGCUA